rnacentral:rRNA from 1 species
CCUGACUGCUAUCGGAUUGAUACUAAGCCAUGCGAGUCAUUGUAGCAAUACAAGGCAGACGGCUCAGUAACGCGUAGUCAACCUACCCUGUGGACGGGGAUAACCUCGGGAAACUGAGAAUAAUACCCGAUAGAACAUUAUACCUGGAAUGGUUUAUGUUUCAAAUAAUUUAUUGCCGUAGGAUGGGACUGCGGCCUAUCAGUUUGUUGGUGAGGUAAUGGCCCACCAAGACUAUUACAGGUACGGGCUCUGAGAGGAGUAGCCCGGAGAUGGGUACUGAGACACGGACCCAGGCCCUAUGGGGCGCAGCAGGCGAGAAAACUUUGCAAUGUGCGAAAGCACGACAAGGUUAAUCCGAGUGGUUUCUGCUAAAGGAAUCUUUUGUCAGUCCUAGAAACACUGGUGAAUAAGGGGUGGGCAAGUUCUGGUGUCAGCCGCCGCGGUAAAACCAGCACCUCAAGUGGUCAGGAUGAUUAUUGGGCCUAAAGCAUCCGUAGCCUGCUUUGUAAGUUUUCGGUUAAAUCCAUACGCUCAACGUAUGGGCUGCCGGGAAUACUGCACAGCUAGGGAGUGGGAGAGGUAGACGGUACUCGGUAGGAAGGGGUAAAAUCCUUUGAUCUAUUGAUGACCACCUGUGGCGAAGGCGGUCUACCAGAACACGUCCGACGGUGAGGGAUGAAAGCUGGGGGAGCAAACCGGAUUAGAUACCCGGGUAGUCCCAGCUGUAAACUAUGCAAACUCAGUGAUGCAUUGGCUUGAUGCCAAUGCAGUGCUGCAGGGAAGCCGUUAAGUUUGCCGCCUGGGAAGUACGUACGCAAGUAUGAAACUUAAAGGAAUUGGCGGGGGAGCACCACAAGGGGUGAAGCCUGCGGUUC